rnacentral:rRNA from 3 species
CUCUGGUAUUGAUUGGUGCUUGCAUCAUGAUUUACAUUUGAGUGAGUGGCGAACUGGUGAGUAACACGUGGGAAACCUGCCCAGAAGCGGGGGAUAACACCUGGAAACAGAUGCUAAUACCGCAUAACAACUUGGACCGCAUGGUCCGAGUUUGAAAGAUGGCUUCGGCUAUCACUUUUGGAUGGUCCCGCGGCGUAUUAGCUAGAUGGUGGGGUAACGGCUCACCAUGGCAAUGAUACGUAGCCGACCUGAGAGGGUAAUCGGCCACAUUGGGACUGAGACACGGCCCAAACUCCUACGGGAGGCAGCAGUAGGGAAUCUUCCACAAUGGACGAAAGUCUGAUGGAGCAACGCCGCGUGAGUGAAGAAGGGUUUCGGCUCGUAAAACUCUGUUGUUAAAGAAGAACAUAUCUGAGAGUAACUGUUCAGGUAUUGACGGUAUUUAACCAGAAAGCCACGGCUAACUACGUGCCAGCAGCCGCGGUAAUACGUAGGUGGCAAGCGUUGUCCGGAUUUAUUGGGCGUAAAGCGAGCGCAGGCGGUUUUUUAAGUCUGAUGUGAAAGCCUUCGGCUCAACCGAAGAAGUGCAUCGGAAACUGGGAAACUUGAGUGCAGAAGAGGACAGUGGAACUCCAUGUGUAGCGGUGAAAUGCGUAGAUAUAUGGAAGAACACCAGUGGCGAAGGCGGCUGUCUGGUCUGUAACUGACGCUGAGGCUCGAAAGUAUGGGUAGCAAACAGGAUUAGAUACCCUGGUAGUCCAUACCGUAAACGAUGAAUGCUAAGUGUUGGAGGGUUUCCGCCCUUCAGUGCUGCAGCUAACGCAUUAAGCAUUCCGCCUGGGGAGUACGGCCGCAAGGCUGAAACUCAAAGGAAUUGACGGGGGCCCGCACAAGCGGUGGAGCAUGUGGUUUAAUUCGAAGCUACGCGAAGAACCUUACCAGGUCUUGACAUACUAUGCAAAUCUAAGAGAUUAGACGUUCCCUUCGGGGACAUGGAUACAGGUGGUGCAUGGUUGUCGUCAGCUCGUGUCGUGAGAUGUUGGGUUAAGUCCCGCAACGAGCGCAACCCUUAUUAUCAGUUGCCAGCAUUAAGUUGGGCACUCUGGUGAGACUGCCGGUGACAAACCGGAGGAAGGUGGGGAUGACGUCAAAUCAUCAUGCCCCUUAUGACCUGGGCUACACACGUGCUACAAUGGAUGGUACAACGAGUUGCGAACUCGCGAGAGUAAGCUAAUCUCUUAAAGCCAUUCUCAGUUCGGAUUGUAGGCUGCAACUCGCCUACAUGAAGUCGGAAUCGCUAGUAAUCGCGGAUCAGCAUGCCGCGGUGAAUACGUUCCCGGGCCUUGUACACACCGCCCGUCACACCAUGAGAGUUUGUAACACCCAAAGUCGGUGGGGU